CUUAGACAUUUUCUAAAAACUCGCCAGAAGUUCUAUUAUACAUGAAAAGUCUGAUUUUAUAAACAAACUCCAUUUAACAGAUGGCGACUAAAGUAGAUAAAUAAUGUAAAAAAAUAAUAAAUGAUCUAUUUCCACGUUUUGUUUCGUUAUUAUCACCUUGGUUAGAAAUGGCAUUUAUGUUAUGCUAUUUGAUUUGCUUUAGUAGCAUUGUGUAUUGUUACAAGUUAAAUUUCAAUAAUGAAGACGUCUCAAAAAAAGCCGGAGUAUCAUCAUACAGAUCAUUUUGCAAUACAAACGAGGACUGUGGUAACUUUAUGCGAUGUGUGCUUUAUGGACAUUCUUCUAUAUGUUUUCCAACUUGGUUUUUUUUAAGCAACGAUAGUAAACUUGAUUGAUAUUGUAAAAACACUUAUUGUUUUAAUCUAAGAUUUAAAAUUUAAAUAACUUUACAUUAAAAUUGUUGAAAACUCUAAUUAUAAAGUAAAUAAAGUUAUGUAAAUAAAAUUAUACCAUUAAAAUAAUUAUUUUUUGUAAAAAUUUUUUUGUUAAUAGUUGCAUAAUUAUUAAAUAUUUAUUUCUGGAAGAAGUUUAAAUGUGCCCAAAUUAUUAUUUUUCGGACCUGGAACACAAUUCUUUCAAAAUUUAUAAGCUAUUUUGUUAAAAAUAAUAACUGUCACUAAUUAUUUAUUUUGUGGAACAAACUUUCAAUCAAUGAGCGCUAUUUAUGGCCGCAGAGACUCUAUUAAUGACCGUAGAGAUUCUGUUGAUAGCCGUAGGGCUUCUAUUGAUGGCGGAAGAAUAAGUGAUUAAAUGUUACAUGGCAUAUCUCCGGUCAAAAAAUUUAACCGUAAUAUUUUUAUGUUGUAAAAUCAUUGUAAAGCUUAUCUUAAACGAGAAAAAUAAAUAAUAUUAUUAUA